UAGAAGAUGACGAGUGGCGGACGGGUGAGUAAUGCUUGGGAACUUGCCUUUGCGAGGGGGAUAACAGUUGGAAACGACUGCUAAUACCGCAUAAUGUCUUCGGACCAAACGGGGCUUAGGCUCCGGCGCAAAGAGAGGCCCAAGUGAGAUUAGCUAGUUGGUAAGGUAACGGCUUACCAAGGCGACGAUCUCUAGCUGUUCUGAGAGGAAGAUCAGCCACACUGGGACUGAGACACGGCCCAGACUCCUACGGGAGGCAGCAGUGGGGAAUAUUGCACAAUGGGGGAAACCCUGAUGCAGCCAUGCCGCGUGUGUGAAGAAGGCCUUCGGGUUGUAAAGCACUUUCAGUUGUGAGGAAAAGUUAGUAGUUAAUACCUGCUAGCCGUGACGUUAACAACAGAAGAAGCACCGGCUAACUCCGUGCCAGCAGCCGCGGUAAUACGGAGGGUGCGAGCGUUAAUCGGAAUUACUGGGCGUAAAGCGCACGCAGGCGGUUUGUUAAGCUAGAUGUGAAAGCCCCGGGCUCAACCUGGGAUGGUCAUUUAGAACUGGCAGACUAGAGUCUUGGAGAGGGGAGUGGAAUUCCAGGUGUAGCGGUGA
rnacentral:rRNA from 1 species